UCAAGCCCGGCGUAUGAGAGAAACGAGUCUUUCACCAGCUCCGCUGGCCGCGCCGGGGCAACAAGCUUCUCCGCCUGCUUCGACCAUAGCACCUCCGUACUACCACAACACCGGUAGCGCCUGCCUGCCUCAUCAUCUCCGCAAGGAUCACCAUCUUCUUAGGAUCAAGAUCGGAUCCUCAGGAGGAAUUACUUUGUCUUUUAAUGACGCUAUAUUGACGACCUGCUGAUACUAUGGCGUGGCUCCAGGAAUCAGUUGCAUUCAUUGUGGGAGGACCAUAAUGGUUGCCACGGCAUCGAUCCUUUGACGCGCCACACUGGCUGGUGAUGCAGACGCGCGCCUUCCUGUUUGGCGGGCAGUGGAGCCAAGCGCUGGAGGCUCCGGUUCCUAUGGAGACAAGCCGACGACUCUGCCUACGGUGACAUCAUACGGGGGCAAUGCGGGACCGGACCCACAAGCGGGCGUUUUGCGCCAAGGGACAGUGAUUCUUCAUCAUCCACAGACAGGAGAAUCAGUGACUGUGACUUCCCUUCACGAGAAUAUCUAGGUUUGACUCUUCUUGCAGCAUC